CAGCAGCCGCGGGAACACAGAGGGUGCGAGCGUUAAUCGGAUUUACUGGGCGUAAAGCGUGCGUAGGCGGCUUUUUAAGUCGGAUGUGAAAUCCCUGAGCUUAACUUAGGAAUUGCAUUCGAUACUGGGAAGCUAGAGUAUGGGAGAGGAUGGUAGAAUUCCAGGUGUAGCGGUGAAAUGCGUAGAGAUCUGGAGGAAUACCGAUGGCGAAGGCAGCCAUCUGGCCUAAUACUGACGCUGAGGUACGAAAGCAUGGGGAGAAAACAGGAUUAGAUACCCCUGUAGUCCCUGUCUCUUAUAC
rnacentral:rRNA from 1 species